ensembl:rRNA 5S_rRNA 5S ribosomal RNA
AUCUACAGCCAUACCACCCUGAACACACCUAAUCUUGUCUGAUCUUGGAAGCUAAGCAGGGUCCGGUCUGGUUAGUACUUGGAUGGGAGAAAAAUGAUAUCUGUAGGAA